CUUAAAAACCUGUGAGAAUGCGCACAAGCUUAAUUGGGUAAUUGAUUGGCAAUGUAUUUUGAUCAUUUGUAUGUAAAGUGAAGACACUUCCUCAGCUUAGCUUGGGCUACUGCUUCCCACAUAAUUUCAGCUGCAGGUACACAAACUGCGAAAAUGACCAUGCAAAUUUACUGUGGUAAACUUUUAUCUUUUAACCAGAGACACAAUUUAAAUAAACUCAAAGUAGGUGUCACUUUAAAUAACUCAGUAUCAGAAAAACACAACUCACCUGUGUGGCCAUUCUACAGUAUAAGGCCACUAAAUAAGUGUUGUUUUUCCAUUUAAGGCAAAAUAUAGUUGUAUGUAGAAUAUAGUGUAAAACACAGCAGUCACCGCUGUCUAUAAUCACGUGACCUUAUCACUUGUCUAGUCAACUAGCUUUCAAGUGGCUCCCCUCUACCAAUAUAUUAUUUUGAACCAAAACAUUUAUCUUCGCAUUGCGUGGGACUGCCCCACUGCACUGCAAGAAAUCCAUCUGUUUCUCUGUUCUGCUGAUAAAAACAGAUGCUGCACCCCUUGAAGAAAAAGAAAAUAUCGGCUGAAUCUAAAGAACAUGUGAAUACAAACCAAUGCGUACGGCUGUGGGCACCAAAGCUGACAGACAUCUUCAUAUAUCAGAAUCUGAUACUCUCAAAAACGUGUGCUAAAUAAUGUUAAUUCCAAGCUUUGUGACAAUAAGUGGUUUUCCAGAUACAGUAUAUGCAAAAAUGUAAGUGUGACAUACAGAUGGACUAAUGUAUGAACAGACAGACAGACACCCUCAUAUGUCCCCAGCAUCUCAUUAACUUAUUCUAAAUAGUGUUAAAUACAAGUUUUGUGACAAUUGGACAAGCCGUUCUCCAGAUUUACUGUACUAGUAGACACGGAAGCAUUAGUUCACACAGAUAAUUUAGCUUCUUCAGAACCAGAUCUUAACUACUGUACAAACUACUGUAAGCCUUUGAUUGAUGCCAGUGUCACCAUAAUAUGAGACUUGGGACCCAUCACCCUGUCACAGCCACUUACAACCAACAAAUCAGAAUGGUUAAAUUCAAAGUUUAAUAUUUAAUUAUCAUCCUAAGCCUAAAGUGCUCCUGUGGCGGUCUGCCCCACCCCUGUGUGUAUUUGUAAGUUUAUAUUUAUGUGUGUAGUGGUGCAUGAAGUGUGGGUUAUGUAGUAUAGGUGAUUUAAAAUGUAUUUAGGCACAGGGAUUGCACAAUCACUUCACGUGCAGAUUAAAGUGGGUAUUUGUAUGGGGACACGGGGAGUGAACAAUUAGUUAACGUGCACACUGUGUCUGCUCAAAUUGAAUGAUUUAACAAGUAAUGGAGCAAGCCACAGCUGCAUUGUGUCAGAGCUCCCCUAAAAACAAGAACAUUACAUUCAACUGCUGUAGUUCCUAGACGCUUUUAAACCUUUGGACUUUAGUGGGUGUUUCCUGGUCACUUCUGAAACAUAUGUUUGGUGGAUUUUUAAGUGACCCAAUGAUUUCUCCUCUUAGCAUUAAAAACAAAGCAGGACCUUUGUGAAUCAUUAAUACAGUGUACUUAAUUUUUACUUCAAAUAUGAUUGAAAUAACUUCAUUUAUACCAUAAUUUUAGCAACACCGAAAGUAAAAACAAUAUGACAAAUAAGGUCAAGGGCAAUCAUAUUUGAAGGAUUUGUGAAACAUUCCUUUUUACAGUGAAACUUCUGUCGAAGACUAUCCGUUUUAGGAGACAACCUGUUUACAAACACCAGUUUCAUUCAGAACAAAUCCUAUCAAUGGGACAUUGCAUGUGUCACGGGUGACUAUGAUUUCUUUUUUGUGGUAUUUUUAUUAAGUUAUAUUAUAAGUUGUGUUUCUUUAUUGCAUUAUUCAAUAUUAUUGUUUCACUGUUUUGGUUUGUGUAUAGCACGUUAAGUUAAUUUGUAUGAACACUGAGUGACUUUGACACGUUACUGUUUUUUGUUUCCACCCGGAGCGCACAUGGAUGGAAGUUGUUUAACAUCAAGGACGAUAAAUGAUCUGAUCCAGAUUGAGGGAGAGCUUAGAGAGAGCCCACAGAGAGUCGAGAGAGAGAAAAAACACAAGAGAGAAAACAGAAGCACAAAAACAUCCGAGAGGAGGAGAGCGAGAGAGCAAUCCGCUGAAAAGAGGAGCAAAUUGGGAAGCAACUGAGAGGCGGGCGGACAGAGAAGAGAGGCAGAGAAUUCGAUCCAGGAACAAAGGAGCCUUACGUGGAAGCAGCGAGCACAAGCAAGGGGCAGGGGGUGCCAGAGAGACGAGACCAGGAUAAUAAUAACCACAACUGAAAACUGGAAGAAAAGCAGCUGACUUAGCAGCUGUUAAGACUCCUUUGCUAAAGAAGAGUUAAGUAAAUUGUAAUUUAAUUACACCUGUGUGUUAAAUAUACAGAAGUAUAUUUAUUUUCUAGUCUGUCUUAUGCACCCUGCAAUUAGAAUUGCUAAUUGCACCAAUAAGUAGUUGACUUUGUAGUGGUUGAAACACUUUACUAAAGAAGAAGUUAAGUAAAUUGUAUUUUAGUUACACUUGUGUUUGAUUGCACAAGUAUAUUUAAUUCUUGGUCUGUCAUAUGUAUCCUGCUUAUAAAAUUCCUAAUUGUAUUAGUAUUGGUUUAAAAUAGUGUAUGAUUUUAACUGGUUUUUAUUACUGGUUUUAUGAGCUGUAAUUCAUUCAGUCAACUGAUGAUUUUAGUGUUUUAGUAAAUUUGUAGUGGAUACUUAUUUUUAUUUAUGUUUUCGAUGUUUGCAUAUAUAUGGAUAAUUAAUUUUUUCACUGUAGUCAAAUUGCCCUUUAUUAAAAAUAUACAGUCCUCCUGAACCAGAACAAGGAUUGAGAGUGGGAGAAAGCUGUUAGUAGGAUUCUAAUUGCUUUUUUUAUCCCAAGUUGGGAGUGCUGGAGGGCCAAAGAGGGACUACUAUCACUUCAGUGUCAGCGGUGGCACUGGGCCAUUGUUGGUGUGCUGUGUGACAGAAAGUGCCCACCUUGUUGGAGACUGACCAGUGGGGACACCAGUGACACCAACUGAAAACCGUCCGGUUAAACCACCUUAGUCUGAAGGCUGGGCUCGGUGGCGGAAGUGGCGCCCCCUGUUGUGGGGAUUAAAUCAAUUACCAAAUUGGGGAGCAGGAGACUGGAACCAUAUCUGGUACCGAUAACCAAGGGAAUUAGUUAGCGAAAUUGUAGCUUGACUGUUUAUUAGCUGUUCAAAUUUUUUAAUAUUGUCUAUAUCCAAAAUAAAAGUAAUCAAUUACUUA